rnacentral:rRNA from 1 species
CCUACGGGCGGCAGCAGUGGGGAAUAUUGCGCAAUGGGCGAAAGCCUGACGCAGCGACGCCGCGUGAGGGAUGAAGGUCUUCGGAUCGUAAACCCCUGUCAGCAGGGAAGAACGGUCACUGUGCUAAUCAGCAGUGAAUCGACGGUACCUGCACAGGAAGCACCGGCUAACUCCGUGCCAGCAGCCGCGGUAAUACGGAGGGUGCGAGCGUUAACCGGAAUUACUGGGCGUAAAGCGCUCGUAGGCGGUAUGUCAAGUCAAGGGUGAAAUCCCCGCGCGCAACGUGGGAAGUGCCUUUGAAACUGGCAGACUGGAGUGUGUGAGAGGAUAGUGGAAUUCCAGGGGUAGGAGUGAAAUCCGUAGAUAUGUGGAGGAACAUCAGUGGCGAAGGCGACUAUCUGGCACAUAACUGACGCUGAGGAGCGAAAGCGUGGGUAGCAAACAGGAUUAGAUACCCCAGUAGUG